AUGUGUCUCAGACAAGGCAAACCCCUAAGCGUGUUCUUGACGGAGGCAUAUUAUGGGACAUACUUGAUUAGAAAAAAGGCGUUGUUAUUGCGGUGGAAGGAGAAGGUCUUUAACUUACUGGUUAUAAAGGACAUAGGAAGAAUAGUACAAAAUGUUAUGGAUCGGCUGGUUGAGCAGGACUAUUUGUUUGGUGCUUGUGGAUUGUGGUGGACUGGUGAUGAUGAUGAUGCUAUACUGAAUCUCAAAAGUGAUAAGCCAGAUGAUGUCUUGGAUGAGGGCACUCUUUCGGAGGAUGCUGAGAUGUAUAAGUGUUAUAGCGGGUUUUAG
rnacentral:rRNA from 1 species